GAUGAACGCUGGCGGCGUGCCUAAUACAUGCAAGUCGAGCGAACGGACGAGAAGCUUGCUUCUCUGAUGUUAGCGGCGUACGGGUGAGUAACACGUGGAUAACCUACCUAUAAGACUGGGAUAACUUCGGGAAACCGGAGCUAAUACCGGAUAAUAUUUUGAACCGCAUGGUUCAAAAGUGAAAGACGGUCUUGCUGUCACUUAUAGAUGGAUCCGCGCUGCAUUAGCUAGUUGGUAAGGUAACGGCUUACCAAGGCAACGAUGCAUAGCCGACCUGAGAGGGUGAUCGGCCACACUGGAACUGAGACACGGUCCAGACUCCUACGGGAGGCAGCAGUAGGGAAUCUUCCGCAAUGGGCGAAAGCCUGACGGAGCAACGCCGCGUGAGUGAUGAAGGUCUUCGGAUCGUAAAACUCUGUUAUUAGGGAAGAACAUAUGUGUAAGUAACUGUGCACAUCUUGACGGUACCGAAUCAGAAAGCCACGGCUAACUACGU
rnacentral:rRNA from 1 species